rnacentral:tRNA from 1 species
GAGGGUAUAGCUCAACGGUAGAGCACAUGCUUAGGAUGCACAAGGUCCUGGAUUCAGUCCCCAGUACCUCCU